rnacentral:rRNA from 1 species
UACGUAGGGUGCAAGCGUUGUCCGGAAUUAUUGGGCGUAAAGAGCUCGUAGGCGGUUUGUCGCGUCUGCUGUGAAAACGCGAGGCUCAACCUCGCGCCUGCAGUGGGUACGGGCAGACUGGAGUGCGGUAGGGGAGAUUGGAAUUCCUGGUGUAGCGGUGGAAUGCGCAGAUAUCAGGAGGAACACCGAUGGCGAAGGCAGAUCUCUGGGCCGUAACUGACGCUGAGGAGCGAAGGCGUGGGGAGCGAACAGG